rnacentral:rRNA from 1 species
UACGGAGGGUGCAAGCGUUAUCCGGAGUUCACUGGGCGUAAAGGGUGCGUAGGUGGUUAGGUAAGUCCGAUGUGAAAUCUCCAGGCUCAACCUGGAAAUGGCAUUGGAUACUAUCUAGCUUGAGGAGUGGAGGGGGGGACUGGAAUUCUCGGUGUAGCAGUGAAAUGCGUAGAUAUCGAGAGGAACACCAGUGGCGAAGGCGAGUCCCUGGACACUUCCUGACACUGGAGGCACGAAAGCUAGGGGAGCAAACAGG